rnacentral:rRNA from 1 species
GACGAACGCUGGCGGCGUGCUUAACACAUGCAAGUCGUACGGUAAGGCCCUUUCGGGGGUACACGAGUGGCGAACGGGUGAGUAACACGUGAGUAACCUACCCACAACUUUGGGAUAACGCUAGGAAACUGGUGCUAAUACUGGAUAUGUGCUCCUGCUGCAUGGUGGGGGUUGGAAAGCUCCGGCGGUUGUGGAUGGACUCGCGGCCUAUCAGCUUGUUGGUGGGGUAGUGGCCUACCAAGGCGGCGACGGGUAGCCGGCCUGAGAGGGUGACCGGCCACAUUGGGACUGAGAUACGGCCCAGACUCCUACGGGAGGCAGCAGUGGGGAAUAUUGCACAAUGGGCGCAAGCCUGAUGCAGCAACGCCGCGUGCGGGAUGACGGCCUUCGGGUUGUAAACCGCUUUCAGCAGGGACGAAGCUUUUUGUGACGGUACCUGCAGAAGAAGCACCGGCUAACUACGUG